rnacentral:lncRNA from 1 species
GUAAAUGCGGUAUUUUGCAUAAAUCAAAUAAAAAUCAGAAAAAUGUCUGCAAAGUAUUGGAUAUUUUGAAUACGUUUAUAUGGAGGAUCUUAUCUCAUUUAUGUGCACAUACUGCAUGACUGAAUUUGUUAAAAUGUAGUUAUUUUGUUUAUUGAUAAUCUAUGUAUACAAAUGUAUACACUUGAUACAUGGGAACUCAGGCGUGUAUUUUACCUAAUGCGUUUCAAAAUAAUCUUGAAAACAGAAAUAUUUUGUGAUAAAUGUAUCCAAAAUGAAAGCAGUGUUUGGUGCCUUUUUGAUUGGAAUUAUAACACAAUGCCUAACAGUUUCAGCAAUAGAUUGUUUCCGUUGCUCAGACUGUGGUGUGCCGUUUGACGAGGAUGAGGGCGUGACCAAGGAAGCGUGUGAUAAUAAAUCAUGCAUGAAGCUAAAUAUUACACACGGGGGCAAAGUCAGUAUAGUGUCACGUGGUUGCAGCAGCGGAAGCGGUGUAGAGGAAGAACGCUGCGAUAGGAAAGAAGUGUCCGGUACAUACAGCGAAAUAUGUUACUGUAACAAGGACGAGUGCAACGGAAGUUCCGAAACAAAGUUUACCUUCACCGUCUGGAUGUUAGUUGUGAUAAUUAUGACACCAGUCUUCAUCUUGAAAUGCAUAAAUUUAUAAAACCCAAAUACUCAUAAGGCUCUGUAGACACGUGCUAUUUCAGGACAUGCAUACCAGAACCAAAUUUUUCAAAAUGUUGGGCAAAAUAAUCUCUCAACGAAAGUGAAGAACAUGAAUAAAUUUUCUACCAUGAUAAGAUAUGAAAUUUAAACAUAGCCUUAAAUAUGACUAAUGAAAAAGUUGUUAAAUAGAUUCUGAUUAUGUAGUUUAUAAUGAUGAUAGAUUUCUUGUAAUUACAAACACUUCAAAAAAUCAGAAGUCACAGUUCCUUGAAGUGUUCCAGAUAAUUAGAAGGUGCUUGUGAUUGAAAUCUACUUUUAGAUUUACAGCAAAACUUGCUUCAGUAUUAUCCCAUAUUAUUCGUAAGUUUAUUUUGGUUUGAUAAUAAUUUUGAUCAUUUGAUUCCCCACAGUGAUUAUAGUAUUUAGCUGAAAGACAUAUAUAGACAAGAUAUAUCAUUUGAAAACAUUUUUAACUAUCAAGGAAUAUGCAUAUUAUAAUUAAGUCAACUUUGAGAACUGUUCUGAUUUUUUAGCUCAGGUUUGAUUCCUGAAGCAUUGUAGAACAUGUGCGAUAUAGAUUGCGUUAGUGUUGUUACAUUUAAAUUCUUUUAUAAAUUUAUUAUAUGUUAAGAGAAAUGAAAUUGUACGUAUGUGAAUUCUACCAUGGUGCCAUUUUUUGUGUCUGACUGUAUAAACUCGAUGAUACUUGCAACUCUAUACUACAUAAAUAGCAAUUUUAUAUUGUGGUUAUCGAGUCUAAAAAGACUUUACAAUGCAAACGAUAUUUGAAUAUGAUCUCAGUUAUGUAACAAUAAAUAUGUGUUUUUUGUCUCCAUGGCAACAAGUCUGGAGCGUUUUACCGCCUUUGGGGCCAAACUAUACUGCCGAGAGACACGUAAGAGCUUUAUAUUACAAGAAUCAACAGCAAUUUGACAACACGAUUUAUAGUAGUCGCAACGUUUCUUUUUUUUUUUUUUUUUUUUUUAAACUUGUGCAACUCUUAGGCACACUUUUAUAUUCAAACUGCCAAAUAACUUGCCUUUUUAGCUCACCUGAUCCAAGGGAUCAGGGUGGACUUUUAGUAUAGGUGGAUUUUCCGUCGUAUUGCGUCCUGCAUCAACAGUUUUACUUAAACAUCUUCUUUUCUGAAACUACUGGUCAGAACUACACCAAACGGGAUGUGUAGAAUCCUUCAAAUGUGUUAAAAUAUGGUAACAUGGGUUCUUUCCGGUGCCGCUAGAGUUAGAAAUAGAAUUUUAUAAACGACCUCCUCUUGAACCACAAACAUGGACUAUAGCAUUAUUGUAGGGUCUUCUCUAGAAUUUAUUAAAAUUGGGGAACUUGGCCCGCUCGAGCUACAAAUAGAAAUAACUGCCUUCUCAUGAACUGCAUGAUGGACCUUCAUCAAUUUUGGUCUGUAGCAUCAGUGUAAAUUCCUCUCUUAAGUCUGUUCAAAUAGGGACACUUGGCCACUUUCAGGAGCUGCUAAAGCUAAAAAUAGUAAAAUAUCUAAACAGCUUUAAUGUCCUUUUUCAAUCUUUUCCCAAUGGGGCAAUUUUGCCCCUUUUAGGGGGCCACUCGAGCUAAAAAUAGAAAUACAUUUAAACGAUUUUUUCUCAUUGAACCACUUUACGAAACUUGAUCAGACUUGGUUCAUAGAAUCAGUGUAAGGUCCUCUCUCCAUUUUAUACAAUUUGGGGCUCUUGGCACUUUUUAGGUGCUGCUAGAGCUAAAAUUAAAAAAAAAUCUUUAAAUGAAUUCUCAUGAACCACUUGAUGGAUCUUUUUCAAACUUUAUCUGUAGAAUAAUUGUAAGGUCCUUUCUCAGUUAUGUUUAAACUGGGGGCACUUUGAUCGUUUUAGGGGCGACUAGAGCUAAAAAUAGAGAAAAAAGACAUGUACCGCGUGAUGGAUCAUGCUUCACUAAACUUGGUCUGUUGUAUCAUUGUAUGGUCUCCUCUCAAUUUUGUUCAAAUGGGAGCCGCUAGAUUUUAAUGUAAAACACCCUUUGAACAACUUCUUUCCAUGGGCCGCUUGAUGGGUCUUCAUCAAGCCUUGUCAGUAGCAUCACUGUUCUGCAGUCAGGUUCCCAUGUUGUUUUUUUUUCCUAAGGGGUUUCGUAGAUCCUUCAAGCAGCAAUUAGAGCUUAAAAUAGAAAAGAAACUUAAAUGACUUCUUUUCAUGAAGCUCUUGAUGAGUCUCCAUCAGACUUGGUAUGUAGAAUCACUGUAAGGUGUUCAAAUAAUAGGGACGUACUUACAGUGGUUUUGUUACAUAAUAAUACACAGUUUCAGUUUUUUAAAGGGAAAAACACUUCGAGCCGCGUUAGAAUAGAUCGUAACUAGUAAACUAAAUUGUUGAUUCGUAUCGCAGUUCAUAUGCGUGGUAAGUGGCAAAUUGAAAGCCUUUGAGGUUUAUGUAGCUUUAAAUGUGCAUAAGUAAUGAAAUUGCUUUAUCAGAGGUAGACAUAUUUUAUUCUCGAAAUAACUUCAAUACGUCUGGACAAUAAACUCCUUCAUAAAUCGCGUCACUAUGGUAGCGUAGUAGAUUUUUUCAUGAUUAAGUUUCGUCUCCGUAUAACUCUAAAUUAAUAUUAAACUAAUAAAUCAAAUCUCAGUCAUGGGAAAUAUAAUUUCAUUAUAGCUAUUUUGUUUCCUUCUAUUAAUAAAACGAAUUUCUAAGACUUUUAUGAAAAAAAAAUAAUCUCGGAUAUUCUUUAUCAGGUUACCGAAUGUUACGUUGUAUUCAUAACAUAACAGAGAAAAUAAUACAUUCUAGUUUUUCUGCUGAAGUGCAUUGUUUAUUUACUAUAUAGGCCUAGACACAUAUACAUUUUCAUAGAGUACUGUAAUUUUGAAGACAUUCUGGUAAAUGUUUAUUAAUAUCGGUUAAAAUAAUAUGUUAAACGUGAAAUAAUACAAACAUUUAACUUGUCAUGUUUAAAAGUGCACUCAUGCAGAACUAUGUCAGCUGAUUUUUGCUAUGCUCCCCUUCCGGACUGAAAGAAAUAUAUUGUUUUGCUCAUACUAUUUCGGACAUAAGAUAUAAAACAUUCUGAGAUUUGGUCUGUCGGGGUAGAAAACUUGGUUUCCAGUAAUUGACAUAAAGUUGUCAAACUUCAAAAGAUUGUUUGCUUUUGGUCAGUAGAUGACCUCUGUUGUUUUGGGGAUUUUGUAGGUGAAAUGUCAAAACAAGAACGUUCACUUAAUUAAUCAACAUUUUGGUAUGAUAUCACACACGAUCAUUUGAUUGAAAUAUUUUCAACCCUAUACUGAUAAAUUAUUAUGCUAAUCCUAGAUUGUUAUUGCUAGAUCUGAUCAUUCUUUUGAUAGUGUUCUACUGUGCCCUUUUCUGCAUCAUAGUUUUAUGUUAGUGCUGUAUUCAAACACUGGAUUCUGGUUUGAGGGCUUAUAAAAAUUUGUAGGGUUGAUAUAAGAUUUAAGUGUUACAUGGAGUUUUAUUUGUUUAUAAAUUGUUUUAAAAGCUCUUGUAAUUCAUUUAUGAAUAGCAGUGUACUAUGGUUAUAUGUAUAUUUUAUGAAGAGCAAGUUUUAAUGUUUGAAAAUGUUUUAUUCUAUGUAUAUUGUACAUUGACGAUAUCAUAAAAUCAUGAGUAAACCAUGAUAUUGAGACAUAGAUAAUGGUUUCCCAUCAAAAAUUCGAGAAUUAAGGAGAGAGUUUCAAGUAAGCUUGGCUUUCUACUCAAUCCUUCAUGCUGUAACUAUGUAACGUUUCAUGUUGUAAAUAUAGAUGAAUAAAAUAUUGUUUAAACCAAUAAUUCGAUAAUCUUAAUUUCAGCAGUUACUAAACUUCACCAUCGUUAAUGAUGACUGUUAUUGAUGUAAGGGUCAAUAGGUCAAAGUUACAUAGACCCCGAGACUGAAAGUAGUUUCCAAUCAAUAACUGAAGAAUGAUAUAACCUAGGAUUGCCAGACUGAUUUCCUGUAUACAGUGGAUGGCCCUGUUUGGGGGUCAGUAGAUCAAAGGUCAAUGUUACACAGAAAUUGAAAUCAAAAUAGAUUCUUAUCAACAGCUAGAAAUCGCUUGGACCUAUGGCCAUCAAAUGUCUAAGGUCGGUCGAUGUCUCAUAUUGUUUUAGGGUCAUAUGUCAUGGUCGAAGCAUAAAUGAGAUGGAAAGUUAUACACCCAGGGGUGAGGGUGCAUAUUUGUUGCACAAUGAGUGAUUGCUUCAUGUAAAUUGUAAAUAAAAAUGAUUCAUUUACUAGUUGAAUAUAACAGUUUGUAGAAAUAUUGUUUUGUCUGUGAAAUAUGAACACAAUUUGUCUUUGUCCAGUAGAAAAAUCCUGAUUAAAAUUUAUAGAAUAGCUGUAGUUAUCCGGCUAUUUAACUAUUAAGAGAGUUAGAAGUAUCUGAUUUCUUUUAGAUGUUGUUUUCUGUUUCAUUUCAAAGAACCUGACAUUGCCAUGUAAUGACUGAAAAAGAAAACGUUGUUAAGAAGAAACAAUGUUUCGCAGAUGGUAACAAAGGAGUCGGAGUAUCACUUUUUAUUACGCUAUCUACGGAGAAUAAUUUUUAAAAAAGCAGCUCAAACCGGCACUGUUGUUAAUAUGGCUUACAUUGUUUGUACAUAUUAUUUUCAGAUACUUAUUAAACAAAGAUUGUAAAUACAUGUAUAUAAUAUUCA